CAGUUCUGGAGCACAUUUAGAGCUGGUUCAAUACAUUCACAUGGUGCAAAUGACCCACUGCCAGAGGGAAACUUCUAAUUUACCCUUUCUCUCAGAAUUCAGCUCCACUGUGGGGUCCUGCUGGUAGCCGUGAUGAUGCACAAGCUUGGUGGAGUCUGUUUCUCACUCAUGAUUGGAAAUGUCUUUGUCUAAAUACAGGCUGAGGGAAUACAUUUUCCUCACGAGCCCUUUGUUAGCUAAGAGCUAAUGAGUUUGGGCUGGAGGGAUCCUCUGUAACAUGUUGAUGACUGCUGAAGACAAGCUGUAUAAUAUGGCCAAUGUCAGCACUGAGGGAGGUAGGAAGUGAGAUAGGAAUAAAGUGAAAGUGGAGUGGCAAAAAGAAAGGGGUCAGGGACAAGCUGAGAAAGGAAGAUGAGGAAUAAAGGGAGCAGGAGCACAGCUAAUACGUGACCCAGGUCCCUAGUGGCAGUUUUGGCUAAUCUAAAUGCUCACCAUUGGCACGCGAAGCUGUACUCAAACUACUCCCUGUUUCCAGUAGGAAGAGAUAAUGUGGGCCAAGAAGAUCUCUGCACCUUCAGAGCGCCAGAACAGGAGGGGAUGGCAUGUACAGCUUUUCAUGUUUCACAGAUGCCCAUGUGAUCUCCCAUAAUGCCAAGAACAAGUUAAGUCUCCCUAAUCUGCUUGCUGGAGUGAACACAAGGACACAUUUGAUUGAGGCUGACAGGCGUGACCCUGGCUCUUCCCUUGGAAGCAGCCAUGUCUGAACGACUGGGCCAUAUGGGCCAACACAGCCGAGGAAGCCAGGAGUGUACAGAAAUGUUCUUACUACUAAAAGAGGUAAACUUGCAUCCCCCUACAGCCAGAUCUCACUGAUACCUUAGCUGUAUUUUCUACUGGGUAGUUUGUGCUGCUGUGUGCACUGGAAGUGAUGGUACAGCUAUCUGCCUUCAUCAGGUUCUUUCCUCACUAUAUUCACCCAGGAACUGUCUUUCUGUUCUUUAUUCUCAGUGUUAGUUGUCUAUACCUCUGUUCAGUAGAGUUUAUAGUGCGUGCCAGUGCAAUUAGGCAUAUAAAAAUAGCCUUCUUAAUGCUCUGAAAUGCUUCUAGUGAACAUUUUUCCUUUUGGAUUUGAGCGUUUAUUGUGUAUGCAAUGUGUAAUAAGAAGUAUUGAUUCUGAUGAUCUGCAUGACUCACUGAUGAACAGAGAUGAUUGAAAAACUUCAAAGAAAAGCAUUAAUGACAUUGCUGCCUUCUUGGAAACAAUAACAUUCUCCCAACAAGUCUACUCAUCAGGUCUAGCUAUGCAUCAUACCGCACUGUUGUAUGUGUAGAAGGAUGUUCUGUCACUGCAAUAAGGUGGUUGAUUCUUCAUUCAUUUGUGUUUUUCAGGAGUUUGUGAUCCCUCGAUUUCUUCCCUCCAUUGCCCUGAAACUGUUGAUCCUAAUGCAUGAACAUGGAUAAAUCUGUUCUUUGAAAUUCUACUUAUAGAAUUUCUUGCAAUAUAUAUUCAAUAUCAAAGUUAUGAUUAGCGCUCAGUAUCUUUUAAAGGAAGUAUUUUUUGUCCUGAUCUUGGCUGGUGUUUGGUAUGAUAUACAGAAGGAUGGCUAUGCAGCUUGAGAUUGGGUCCUGUGUUUAAGCAGAAGGGUCUUUAUUCUAGGAUAAGUACAAUUUAUGUCAUCUUCUAGGAAAAGAUGAUACCUUCAUGUGGUAAUGGAACCUGUUGGUGAAGAUGGCUACGUUGGUUUAGCACCUAUAAUGAAGAAGUUAGGAUGGAGUGUGCUUACUGUGCCUCAGAAAGGUCAGGACCUUUUCAGUUGGCAGUCAAGGAUGCACUGAGAUCGUGAUUGCCAGGACAAGCUGGAGAGCAGGCAAGAUUUUAAGAACCUUUCAGGGAGAUGACUUCUUUUUGUGUCCACAAAUAUGGCCACUUGCAGCUUUCCAUUUGGAUCCCAGAGCUGCAAAAUGGCAUUUGUCCACCAGAGGGCAUGUGGGCCAUUUUCUCCUCCUGAGCACAAAAANNNAAAAAAAAAAAAAAAAAAAAAAAAAGAAACAGGUUUCCAAAGCAAAUGCUCUUCCAAAAUGGGACCUUGCACUGGUUGCCUCGGCCUCUGCCAUUGCAACUGGGAUGCUGAAGAAACAUGCAUGGCCAACUGAGCUGGCAGCAGGAGGGCUGGUGUGACGCUGUGUGUGACUACAACAGAGCCAUCCCAGUGUGUUGUGAUGUUCUGCCUGCCUGGACUUGCUUAACUUACAGCCUGAACAUCAUCUUGCUUUGAAGUCCUGAGCAGAGCUGGAGCUUCCUGUCCACUUCACUGGUCCUUUGGGUGUCAUGUUGUCCCAGUCUCACAGCAACAGAAGCUUGGGUGUAGCCCUCAAACACCGUGGAGAGAGUGUCACCUCUACCACACCAUAUGAACCAAUCACUGAUGUGAAAUGUGAACAAAAGACCUGUUAUCUGCCCCUUGAAGCAGGACAUAUGGACGCCUGAUCAAGUCUCCACUCCUAUUCCAUGGUGAAAAAUGACCAGGUCGUCUUCGUACAGCUUCCAGUGCUGGUGUGAAAUUGUGCCACUUUGUGCACUCAUAGCUGAGCAGAGACAGAGCCUGUGGAAACCAACAGACAUCAGUCAGGGAAGUGUUUGCAUGUGUACACCAAGUUUUGAAAGGAGGCUGUGUGUGAUGGAGUAUCUGGUGUCAGCUGGUAUCACCGCCAUUUUGGACUCAUUUCAGUUUUUACUGUGGACCACCUUUACACAGUCCUUGUACUUACAGCUGGCCAGCCCUGUGGACAUCAGUGUAUAACUCAUACAAGCAAGGUUUCAGCUGUGCUUCUGGGAUGUCCUUUAAUGCUGUAGGAUGAGAGGUGGUACCCUGGGUACCUGGAGAGAAAAGUGGGAUGUUUUCCAGCUCCAUGGGAAAGGAGAAUCCAGAGCUGCAGCUGUGAAGAGCAGUGGGUUUGGGAAGAAAAAUCCAGCAGGCAGGGUGAGAUGAAUUGUAGACUGUUCGCACGCUAGAGAAAUAACCUCAGUUGCCAGUUCUGGUUAGCAGGUUGCAGGGAGAUGGAGCCCACCCAGUCUGCAAAGGACAGCAAUGGGCAAAUACUGCUGGGCAACAUAUGCUGCUUUUGCAAGAGGCCAAGGCCUGAUUGUUCCUCCAGCACUUCAUGGCCAAUUUAUUACCUGGGGGAUGACAAAGCCUAAACUCAGAUCAAGUUUCUACCAUGCUAGGUGCUGGACAUACAAGCCUAAUGAAUUUCAUGUCUUAAAAGAGCUUUCUGCCAUGAUUAACAGGGCAACUUGUGGACGAGUUGUCAUGAAAGACUGUGAGAAAAACAGAAGUGGUUCAGUUCAGGGUCCCUAAAAUCUUUCAAAGCUCAGGUAGGGCAACUUACCCUUGUCUGUGUGUCUCUUCAUUUGCUGUUCAUGGCAUCCAACUCUGGUGCUCCCUAAUAACAAGCAACCUGAAUGUCUCAUGGAUCACUUGAGUUGGGAGGCUACAGCAGUUGCCCCAGGACUUUGUAUAGAUAGAAGUCUCAUCUGCAAGGAUACACGGAGUCCAUGCCAGUGCUGAGGACUAAGCUUGGCUCUGUCCUAAUCUUAGGCCUUAGCCCCAUGACUGCCUUGUUUCCCAAAAAGGACCGGCUGGGAUGUUUUGAGAGGUCCAGCAGUGAAAUAUGCCUACAGGAUGCAUCGGUGUGCAUUGAGUUGGGGUACCUGAGCUUUAUUGAGUCUUUCCACCAUGAAACACACGUUGCUGGAACUCAUCUCAAGAUAAAUGCUUGAAUGUCAGCUCAGUGCCUCUUCAAGCCAGGCCAAGCUGCUUGCAAGUCUGUUUUGGAAGGGUUUACUGGACACUCCCCUCAGCGUGCUGGAAAAUCACCCCUGCCAGUAACAGGCUUGUCAUCUCUUGCCACUAUGGUCCCUGCCUAUGGCUGCUGGAUCUCCUUCCAAACAUCCUUGGUUCUUCAGCCCAGCAUGCUGUUAGCCACCAAAGUCCUCAGCACAACGAUUUGAUGAGGCCGUGAUCUCAGAGAGAUGGGAAAUGAGAUGGGUGCUUCGGAUGGAUCAGGAGGAAAUGCUGAAUUGUAAAGGGCAAGUUUGUGUGGCCACUUGCCUCGGAGUGGAAGGAGGACUGCCCUCCUCCUGCAUCUGACCACUGACAUUAGGCAUGCAGUGCUGCAUGACCCAGCAGAGAGACCUCAUCCGCCAGCAGGGAAGUAACAAGCCCUCUUGGUCAGAUGCUGUUGCUCUCUGGACUUCUGCCUUUCUAGGUGGGACAGUGUGGCCUCUUUAACCCCAUCCCUGGAUCAGUGCUCCCAAAUUAGUGUAAUCAUCCCACUCAAAUUAAGUGAGCAGCUCCUGGCUCCUGGCUCUGCAGCCCAGCCCUGGGCAUCCCCUCUCAGCCUGGUGCCCACAUCCCUCUCUUCCUCCCUCUCCCCCGAAGCCCCCUGCUUGUGGGCUCCUUGAUAUUUUCCAGUCCUUCCCUAAUGAGCACUGCAGAAUUACAGCUAAUUAAGGAUGUAAAUGAUGCUGGAGAGAGAGGGAGAGGGAGAGGAUGGGAAGGGGAGGGGGGAGGGCAGCUACUUGCUGUGUGCAACUCUGCAGUAAAGUGUCUCCUACCUCAGCAGAAAAGUUAUCAUGGGAGACAAUGUCAACUUUAUGGAGGGGGGAGGGCCCUCUCAGCGCCUCUGUCCCCGCCUGUAAUAGCUGCUGCCUCUCUUUUAUGUGUCAGCGCUGCAGAUGCUGAUGUCCUCCCUCCCAAAUGCUGCUUUGUCAGCUGGCGCUGUCACACAGCCCUGGGUCUCUCUCUGCCUCUUGCUGCCAUCCUCACUGUGCCAGGGCACCCAGGGGCCUGUCUCCUUCCCUGCAAGGAGGUUUGCCUCUCUUCCUGCCUACAGGUCCACCUCCAUGCCCAUGGUCUGGAGAGGCUCUGGGACUGGUCCCACUCUGAGAAGAAAUGUUUGUGCUGUGACAUAGGUGGGAUGCUGUGUGGGCAGGAGCAGGCCAUGAUGGGGACAUCCGCCUGACACUGUGCUGCAGAGGGACUUUGGCUGCCACACCACCAGGAACACAGCUCUGCUGGGUCCUCCAAGAGCAUUUGGAAGCACUCCGGGUCCCCGCUGCCAUAUUUCCCUGCACACUGCCUGGAUCAGUGGGUUGUGAAACCAGUGCCUCGGAGAUGAUGAUGUAGUCCCUAUGUGGGCCGCAGAAAGCACUUCGAGCCGUGCUGGAGUCGUGCUGGGUGGCUCUGAUAGCAGAGCUAAUGGGAGCGAAUGGGAUGCAACGAACUGUUCUAAUGACACCAGCCAGGGAAGAGACAACAUGCCAAGAGCCAGCUUCUCAGAAGGGAUGUUGGAGGAGAAAACCGAGCAUGGCUGGCUGUACAGGACCACCCUGGGAUGAAGCAGGAAUAACUGGCUUCCUAAUGACAGACACGGGUCUCUGGGCAGUGAAUCAACAACCACAAGUGGAAGUGAGCGAGAGCCAGACACAAAUAUUGUCGUUCCCCUGACACCUCCCACCAGGCACCUCCAUGCUGGGCCUGGGUGAGGGCUGAAGCAGACACUGGGCCUGGUCCUGCCAGCAGGAUUUCCAUCUGCCAACACAGCUGAAGGUCCACCCUUGUCUUCUGUAUGGGCCCCACGGAGGGCUGCUGGCGGUGGUGGUGAGUUGGUGAUGUUGGAAAGGUGCUGGUGGUGCUGCCAGAUACCAUCAGCACAUGUGGGGUAAGCACAUGCAUCUCACCUCAUCAUCAGUGGAAAUCAUGCUAUCAAAAUCUGACUGAAAUGUGGCUUUUCCCACAUGAACUUGAAAAUGUUUUCAGUUUGGAAAGAGUAGAGGCGUUUCCUUAACAUCAAAUUUCUAUGAGAAUACAUUACAUAAACAUCCUCCCAUUAAAAAAAUAAAACAGACCCUCACCUUUUUCCUUCUUUUGAUAUCUUCUGCUUUAUAGUGUUUUAAAUCAACUGCAGAGUAAAUUUCUAGAAAUUUCCUUCCAUUAGCAAAGAAACCUGCAGUCUUCUAAGGGCUAUGUAAUCAAACAGAAAUAUAAAGAGCAAGGAGGGAAAAAUAAAGAUGUGUUCCUGGCAGCAUUUUGGAAGAAAACAUAUUUAAGUAUGAAAGGAGCCUUUUAUAACUCACCUUUUGAAGUUCACACCGUGUUAAGGGAGCAUCUUGUUCAGAAGUCAAAUCUCCAGCUUGGAAGUGUAGAAAUCCUCCUCUGCCAUUCACCUCUCUAGUUGGGCAGAGGGAAUUUCUGAUGAGUGACUCAUUGCUUUAUGGAAACGGAAGAUGCCAUGUACCAGCUUCCAUCAGAGGAGCACAGAAACUGUUAAAUGUGUGUUGUCUCCCCUUUCUUCUUCUUCCAGAAGGCAGAUGAAGUUCUUUAUCUGUACAAGCAUGAAGACACCAAGACACACGUGGGAUUGCUUUUGCCUGAGGCCACACUGCAUCAAUUGUCCUGAAAAGAGUCACUCUGCAGUUGAUACAGGUGCGAUUUCAUGCUCGGAAACUGACUGCCAAGUUGUGUGAGCACCCCGGGACUGCCAUGUGCUGACAUUGAAAAUGUGGUUAUGUGAAGAACUGAAAUAUCCGAGGUGAGAAGUUAAAACAACUACAAAACUUCCAGAAUUCCUUUUCAUGAGAAAGAAAUAUGUAAAUACAGAAGCACCUCCGCCUGAAACCGGGACAGACAACGUUCAGAAGUAUUGCAAAAAAUGUCACAACAGCAGGGCUGUGUUUUUCCCAAGUUGUUCUACAGACCUUUAAAGAUGCUGCUUCAUGAAAUAACGAGUGGUUCAUUCACCAACCCAUCAGCUUGGGAAAUAUAUGCAACACGAAUUCAUUUGUUUCCAGCUAAUUGCACUUUCAUUUCCUCCUCCUGUCUGUGCAAGGCGAUGUAGGCUGGGGUUUGGAGCGGUGCCUCCCAGGCGGUGCUGCAUGCGCUGCUUUCAGUGUGCAGAGACCUCACAGCAGAACCCAGCCCAGCCGGGGGAUGCAGCCGCUCCCUUCGUUUAGGCAAAAAACAUUUGGGGCCCGUAGGUUUAGAGAGAGGUGGGACUGGCAGUCCUCUCAUGUUUUAUUCCUGGCUUCUGCCGUUAGCGUGCUGUACAGUUGUAGUCAAACAAAUGAACUUCUCUACAUCUUAGUUACCCUUUCUGUAAAAUGAAGGUAAUAAUAUUUAUCCAGCUGGGAUGCUGCAAGGAGUAAUUAAUGUGUACGAAUCACUUUGAAUUCCUCUAACGAAGUGCAAACUGUAUUAGUUCCCACAGAAACUGGUAAUAGGUUUGUGUCUUCCUUCACUGAAGGUCUGACCUUAAUCCCCCAAGGGUAUUCUUGAGGAAAAACUCUUCCUCCUAUUUGUAUUACAGCAGUUUGUAAGGGCCUCUCCCAGGACAGAAUCCCCGUUGUGCUUGGAGCUGUACACUCAUCCAGUAACACACAGACCAUGCACUAAAGAUCUUAUAUCUACACUAUGAAAAUCUAGGAGAAAACAAGCAUUAACCCCUUUUCAAAGGUAAAUAACCAAGGCACAAAGCCAAGUUCUCAUAUCACUUGUCUGAUGUUGCACUUUCCAUUUUGAAGUUGCCAAUGGUAAAAGGCUGAGUUCCCCUCUGCUGGGAUGGCUCAGAGAGAGCAGAAUUUGGGAAGGUCUAAGUUUGCAGAGGGAGGACACCAAAUGGCUGCAGGUAGGGCGUGUGACUGCUGGUCCUGUUCUUCGUCUCAUGCUCUUUUGGAGGUUUGGAUGCGUUCUGUGUUCUGAUUUCAGAACUUCCAGUCAUCUUUGUGCUGUGGAGAGCAAGAGAACAAGAAAAUUAAAGGACUGGUUAAUUUGGUUUUGUAAGUCUUCAAGCAGGUUUGGGGAAAUGCGGAUGUGCCUCCAAGGGCUGCUGCAGCAUUUAUCCUGCUCGUGUUCUUUGGCUGAUCUGUUAAUUUCUGACUGGAGUGACAUGUCUUGGUCACACUGGGGAACACCGAAUAGGGAAACCAGUCUGGUCACAAACAAAACCAUCCCAUGUUCAUCUGAGCAAAUCUGCAACACUACCUGCCCCAGACUGCCAAACCCAGGAAGAAUCCUGCACUAUCCCAGUUAUGUUUUCUAUCAGCAGAGAUGUGAUUCCAGCCCUCUGUCCUGGACUUUCUUAAUCUGUCUGGGUAAGUGAAACUGUGGAUCACAGCCUGAACCUCUGAUUAACCAUCUGAGGCAAGUGAUGAUUCAGCUGUGGGAGCACAGGUGAAGGUAAUUCAGCUGUGCUCCCAGCAAGGGUGGAGCUCCACUCUACCUCUCCUGGAUCCCAUUUAAGGGCUGACCACCACUAAGGUAGCAUCUCUUUGUGGAGGUUGCUCCUGUGUGGAGUUCUUGUGGAGAGCCUCAACAUCAGUGAGCACCUAUCAUGAAGACCUCAGAACUGGUGAGGAUUCAGCCAAGUUCCAGAGUCAUGGAGCACAGCACUUUUCUUGGUCAGAAAUGAUUUUUCAUGACCUGGAAUGCCUCUACCUGGCCAAGGAGGGGAGAGCAAUACCAAACAGAGGACUGCCAAGAGGACACUUACCCACAGUGGUUUGCCUUGGCCUCCCCACAGCCACGAGUGUGCAUGUCUGAGGCUCAUCAGUCAAAGUCCUUCCUUGAGGGAACCACCAGGCUGCCCCAUGAAUGGGAUUCAUCUGUGUAGCAGGUGCAGUGUUGAUUCAGCCAGGAGCAGACUGGACUCUACUGCCAGCUGGGGCUGAAGAGGACGCUGGUCCUUAUGUUCACAGGUCUCACAUCUUCAUUGCUCUCAAGAAAUUCCUCCUGGCAUGCAGCGUAUCGCAGCCAAAACUGGAGGAAAGAAUGAGAGCAAACAAUUUUCCUGCAUGCUGGCUGUAGGACUCUCCAUGAGCGCUGAGCUGACUCCAGCAAGACCUUUCCCACCAGAAACAGCAGUGCAGCAGAGCACUGGGGAGGACAAGACAGCUCCCACCAUGGUACCUGACCUCCUCAUAGUCAAAACGGUGUUUUAAUGUGACAACAGAUGUCAUAAUCCCUUUGGGCUUUUGCAGGCAGCAAACUGAGGCAUUGGAUAAAUGAAAUGACAUGGAAAAAAAUCAGCUGGUGAGCAGCAGAGAGCCCAGGUCCCCAGAGAAGAUAGUGACUGUCUCACCUUCAGCCUCUAGUGCUCUUUUACAAAUGUACUGGGUGUCCCAGUGUGGGCUUGAGAUGUCAGCAGGUCUGAGUGGAUCUUAUGAGGCUCUCAGUGCCCUGCUUGGGGAUUUUGCUGAGCAGUCAGCACCCGGCUGACAUCAUUUUGAUACCGUUUUGUCAGGAAGAAACUUCCUUACAUCCGGUCUAGUUUGGAUGCUUCAUCCUAAAGCCCAAUCCCAAGCCUUUAAGUUUAGUGUUAUCAGGCAAAGUAUUUCCCAUGGCACACACAGCACUUCAAUUCUUGACUCGCACCAUGCCAGGUUAUGUGCUGAGUCCCUGUGUAAUGGGUCUCCUCUCUGUGCCAUCACCAUUGUGUCUGCUGUUUUCUCUGCUUCUUACAGCUCCCAUGCUUUGCCUUCCAGCAGGAUGGUGCAAACCUAAGGACAGACUCAUCUCAUGCUGUCACUGUAAUGCAAAUUACUGCCCUCAGCUCAGCAGCAAAGAGGUGGGAAGAGAUGGCCAGAUGCCUUCUGCCACUCAGACUGACUGCCCUUGACCAAAGGCAUGGUGGUGGUAGGUUGUUGGGAGGACUGGGUGGUUUUAAUGAUCUCUUCCAAACUUAAUGAUUCAGUGAUUCUACAGUUCUAAGUUGGGCCAUUUCCAGCACUCAAGGGACUUCCCAGCACGGGGAGGUGGCAGGAGCCACAGGGGAAGACAGCACCAGGGGACAAGUCCAUGGUGGGGAGAAGGAGAUAAGAGAUGAAGGGGGCAGAGAUGGAGAAGUGGAAAGAAGGAGGAAGGAUGGAGGAGAGAAAGGUGAGUGGAAGCAGCAGAUUUCAGGGUGGCCUUCCAGGCAGCAUUGGAGGACUCUGGCCGGCACUCCAUUUCCAAUUUGGCAUGUUUGAGAGUGUAAACCUCCCUUCAGUCUGGGCACCAAUAAAAGAGGCAGCUCUGCAGAGUCUGCACUCGGCUGUGGCAAGCUGCCGACUUUCAUUUCUUUUUACUACUGACUUUGUGUGUCUCUCGCCCCUUCCUCCCAUUCUGGGGACUUUAUGGACUGAGACGCAGCAUCCUCCUUCCCCUGAGCAGGGGUUGGCUGCAGACCUGGAGUUCCAGGAAAUUUCCAAGGUUGCCUCUGUGCAGCAGAUGCAAACAUUUCCACCUGCAGCACCCAGCCCUGCACCAGUGGGGCCAUGUCCCACUGAUGCCACCCCAUUGCUAGCAUGGGGCUCACCCACCAGGAGGGAGCAUCCUCCUUCUAGGGGGCAGCUCUGAAUCCGUGCUGCCCAUCCCAGCUGUGAGCAGUCAGCAGGAUGCCAGACUGAUUAUGAAAUCAGUUCAGCUGGGACUGGGUGCUGGUUUUUCUGACCGCAGUGCCCUGCCUGUUUCCACAUUGGCUCAAUGGAGAUGCUUGUUGCUAUUUCAUAUUUGGAGAGGAAAGGUUGUGUACAUGUGAAAGAGAUGGCUACCUCACAUGCUGCUGAUGCUGCAGACUAAUUAGGCAAUUAACAUGUUUCAAAGAGGAAAAGAACAAACAACAAAGAGUAAAUGAAAGAGAAGAAUGGGCCUGGCUGCAAAAUGGUACCUUACGUGCAACCCACAAGUUUUUCUGUAUUCCACAAUGGCAGAAAGGAAACUGAACAUCCCUCCAAAUACAAGACUUGAUGAGAAAUGUGGGUUUUUUUAAAGAAUGGUUCCAUCUUUCCAGCAUUUCCUGCUUUCUUCUCCUUGUUCCU